AGAGAAUUGGCCGAGUGGUUUAAGGCGGUAAGUUUGAGUUUUAUUGGGUCUUUUAGGCCUCAUCCGUUCGAAUCGGAUAUUCUCUG
rnacentral:tRNA from 1 species